rnacentral:rRNA from 1 species
UACGGAGGGAGCUAGCGUUAUUCGGAAUUACUGGGCGUAAAGCGCACGUAGGCGGCUUUGUAAGUAAGAGGUGAAAGCCCCAGAGCUCAACUCUGGAAUUGCCUUUUAGACUGCAUCGCUUGAAUCAUGGAGAGGUCAGUGGAAUUCCGAGUGUAGAGGUGAAAUUCGUAGAUAUUCGGAAGAACACCAGUGGCGAAGGCGGCUGACUGGACAUGUAUUGACGCUGAGGUGCGAAAGCGUGGGGAGCAAACAGG